rnacentral:lncRNA from 1 species
CUCCGACUCCCUCUUUAGAUAACGGAGCUUCCAACGGUUUCCAGAUUUUGAAAUCAACCAGAAACUAUCAUUAGCUGAAUUGUACACCCCUAAAUUUCCUAAGUUGAAGCUCCACUUCUUAUAUGGAGAACAGGCCUACCAAGGGGUAAUUCAAUCAAUACUGAAGCGGACAAGGCGGAGCCUAAUCUAAUCUGGCCUGUGUCCUUACAAGAAGGGGAAAUUAGAACAUUCAGAAAGACAGCAGUCAUGUGUACACUCUGUGAUGGUUAAUCUUCAUCAUCAACUUGACUGCAUUUACUAUCACCAUGGAAACAUGUCUAGGUGCUUCCGGAAAUGUAACUGAGGUAAGACCCACCCCACCGAAGAAGGUGAGAGGCGGUAUUCAAUGGAAUAGUGGCCUGGCAUUAUUCAAAAGGAGGGAGCCAGCUGUCCCAGCAUUCCUUUCUUUCCCGACUCCUAACCGAGAAGGCAGCCAGAGGGCGAAAGAGGAAUUGCCUCCGAGGAAACCACCUCUGUAGCUCCUUGAUCUAGAUCCCCAGUCUCCAAGAACUAAGGGGAAAGAACCUUUGCUGGGUCUGUUUCCGUCUGGGAAGCUCUGGCUGGCAGCCGGAGGGAGGGCACUAAGAGGAGAGCCAACACCUGUGCCCCCACGUCUGUAAUCAGAAACAUCAUCCAUACUGGGAAAUAACCUGCCUUCCCCUUAGUCAUGAACCAGCUCGCAGCACUUUGUGCAAACCACCGGACUUCCCUAAGAGUUCCAAGCUUUCAGGAAUGUCUUCCGGAACUCCCACUUGGCCACACCCUCUGUGCACCAAGUUUCUCAGCCACUCAGAAUCCUCUCUGCUCUAUGUGUUUCCUGGGAUUUGUACCCAAAUCCUCUGGGUACAGAAGGAAAACCAAGACUGGGCUCCUUCUGCCUCACUUCAUCACACAUCCAACUUCCAGAGGGAAAGGAAGAAGGAGGUUUGAAGCCUACCAUUUCCUACACCGGUGUCUCAGAAUGAAAACUGAUCUGCACGCUGGAACAAAGGGGAAGAUUGACGAUUUCUGCCACGUGUUAUUCCACCAGGACAUCCUGGGGCAUGAGAAGCCCUUCACACACAACCCACCACUGCAGAAGUAGGGCAUUGGGCUCCCGAUACAGAUAGUAAGUCCUGUUUUGAAUAACACGAGUAAACCAGCACCAAAGGAAACCUGAAGAGCCAUAAGCUGAGAAAUACAUCAUUUGAAAGAAAAUCUGCCCUCAAAGGGCUAUCAUGACUCCCGUUGAAUGGGGGGAGGGGCGAUUAUGAACUUGGUGCUUCGCCAUCUUCUUCCCAGCAAUGCCAGCGCCUUCUUCCUCCCCCCAUCUCAGAGGGGCUUGCCCUUUGGAAUCCUUAAUGAAACAAUAAAGUAGGAAUCAAGAGAAUUCA